rnacentral:miRNA from 1 species
GAGAGAGAGAGUGAGAGAAGGAGAGACAUCCAAGAAAUGGGAGAAAAAAUGUACGUAUACGACUACGUAUGGUUGUUUACGGUCGCUUGGAUUGUAUCUCUCUUUCUCUCGAUUCUUUUUUUU